GAUGAAGAACGUAGCGAAAUGCGAUAAGUAAUGUGAAUUGCAGAAUUCAGUGAAUCAUCGAAUCUUUGAACGCACCUUGCGCCCUUUGGCCAUUCCGAAGGGCAUGCCUGUUUGAGUAUCAUGAACACCUCAACUCUUCAUGGUUUUCCAUGAUGAGCUUGGACUUUGGGGGUCUUGCUGGCCUGUGGGUCGGCUCCUCUCAAAUGAAUCAGCUUGCCGGUUUUUGGUGGGCAUCACAGGUGUGAUAACUAUCUACGCUUGUGGUUUUCCACCAGGGUAACCUUCAGCAGUGGAGGUUCACUGGAGCUUACAAAUGUCUCGCCUCUGUGAGGACAGCCCUUUGAAUGUUUGAUCUCAAAUCAGGUAGGACUACCCGCUGAACUUAAGCAUAUCAAUAAGCGGAGGA
rnacentral:misc_RNA from 1 species